AUUGAACGCUGGCGGCAGGCCUAACACAUGCAAGUCGAGCGGAUGAAGGGAGCUUGCUCCUGGAUUCAGCGGCGGACGGGUGAGUAAUGCCUAGGAAUCUGCCUGGUAGUGGGGGAUAACGUCCGGAAACGGGCGCUAAUACCGCAUACGUCCUGAGGGAGAAAGUGGGGGAUCUUCGGACCUCACGCUAUCAGAUGAGCCUAGGUCGGAUUAGCUAGUUGGUGGGGUAAAGGCCUACCAAGGCGACGAUCCGUAACUGGUCUGAGAGGAUGAUCAGCCACACUGGAACUGAGACACGGUCCAGACUCCUACGGGAGGCAGCAGUGGGGAAUAUUGGACAAUGGGCGAAAGCCUGAUCCAGCCAUGCCGCGUGUGUGAAGAAGGUCUUCGGAUUGUAAAGCACUUUAAGUUGGAAGGAAGGGCAGUAAGUUAAUACCUUGCUGUUUUGACGUUACCAACAGAAUAAGCACCGGCUAACUUCGUG
rnacentral:rRNA from 1 species